rnacentral:pre_miRNA from 1 species
ACUUGCUUUCUCUCUUCCAUGCCUUGAGUGUAGGACCGUUGGCGUCUAAUUACCCUCCCACACCCAAGGCUUGCAGGAGGGUGAGCCUCCUC